ensembl:lncRNA
CGACAACGCCGCAUAUUUGUGAGAACGUCGUAGACACUAAGACCACUUGGUUUUCAGGGUCUGCCUUCUUGGUUACCUUGGCUACCCUGAAGGUUCCCGGGGGUGCCCAUCCCUUGUUAAAGAUGAGAGAGCCGGAUCCCAGAGAGGUGACGUGACCUGCUCAGUGUCGUGAAGAAUGCCGGUAUCUUCGCCGGGACUGGGACCAGGGCCCUUUGGCUGCUGCUUUGUGCCCCACGGCUGAAAUAUACCCGACUCUCAUGAACUUCACCUUGAGGAGGAGAGAAAAGGAAGACAAAAGGAGCCGGUGACCCACCCCAGGUCGGAGUGAGCAGCAUCUGGGAGAGGAUGCCGACUCAGGCCUCCUGCUUCCUGUCCAUGCCCCUUCCAGCCUUGCCACUGUAAGCUGAGUGUGUUCCGUAUCUCACGUUAUCCUCAAGAGCCCCUUGGGCAGGUAGUGUUAUGCCCACGCCCAGGACUCAGGAGCCCCAAAUGGGUGAGUAACCUGCCUGUGGUCACCCAGCUAAGUAGUGGGAGCCCUCGGGCUCCACCCUCCCCAGCUCUGCCACGGCUCACCUCACUCCUCUGUGAGUCCACUAAGGGCCUGUCCACUCUCACAUGCCUUACUUUAUUGACUGCUCACAGCAUCCCAUUUUGUCAGGGCCAGAUGACGAGUCCAAGGUCAUCCAUCAAGUUCUCGGAGUGGAUUACAGAGACAGGGUACCACUGGAUCUUCGAGCACCAGCCCAGGGCAGCUCUCACACCCCACAGGGCCUCAUGACUCACAACAGCUUGAUCUAUGUUGUAAUGACAAUAGCUGUGGGGACCACCCCACCUCCCACAAUGGGACUCUGGGACUGUUCAUGUCGAGGAAUCUCCUGGAAGGGUCCGUUUCUCUCAGUAAAAGGCCGAAUGGACCCUUAGAAGUGGCUGUUUCAUGCCAGGGUCCCAGCCACUCCCUGAGGCAGCCUUACUUGCCCUGGAAUUCCCUGCCCUGUGGCUCCAGGCCUGCUUCCAGGGCCUGCAGAGCCCUCCUUUCCAGUGGACCUUUGACCAGGGUGCACACCUCAGGCGUAAGCGGUGCCCAAGGGCGGUGAGUGUGUGAGCACAGGCUAGGGUCCACACACAUGCAUGGGAGGGUCCUUGUGUGUAGAACACAAGUGGUGGACGGCCAGGAUUGGAAGAGGAGAGUGGCCCGUGGGCCUGUGUUUGCGCUCCUGCCUCAGCCCAGUAAAUAUGAAGGCCAGGCCUGGUCACAGCUACAGCAGGAGUCCACUCGGGCCUGUGACUUUCACCACAGUGCCCGUUCACUGCCUCUUAAAAACAUGUAUAAAGAAUACAGCAAACAAAAUAACACCCUCCCUUUUUUCCUUAAUACUACAUAAACUUUGUAACAGGAUUAUGAAAAACACAAAGAGGAAAAAAAAAAAAAGGAAAGAAAAAAAGCACUCUCAAUUGCACUCCCAGAGAGAAUCUGUUAACAUUUUGACGUAUUUCCUUAUAGACUUUUUCCAUUCCCAUGAACAUCUAUGUAUGUAUGUAUGUCCCAGACUCCUCAGGCAGCUAUAACGAAAUACCACAGACUAGCGGGCUUAAAAAACAGAAAUGUAUUUCUCACAGUUCUGGAGGCUGGGAAGUUCAAGGUCAAGGUGCCAGCUGACUUGUUUCCUGAUGAGGGCUCUUUUCCUGGCUUGGAGAUGGCCACCUUCUUGCUGUGUCCUCACACGGCAACGAGAGAGAGACAGAGAGGGAGAAUUCUGCCCUCUUUAAGGCAACCAAUCCUAUUAGAUCCGGCCCCACCCUUAUGAACUCAUUUAACCUUGAUUACUUCCUUAUAGGCCCCAUCUCCAAAUAUAGUCACAUUGGGGAUUAAGGCUUCAACACUGAAAUUUUGGGAGGACAUAAAAUAUGUGUAUACAAAAAUGGGAUCAUAUGAUACGUGUCAUUUGAUAUCCUGUGUUUGCUCACUUGAUAAUAUAUUUUGGAGUUCUUUCCAUGUCCAUGUAUCUAGACACACAUCAUUAUUUUAAUGGCUUCCAGUUGCAUAAUAUUCAUUCUAUUAACAUAAUUCGUUAGCCAAUCUCUUCUUGAUGGGCAUUUAGAGUUCUUCCAAAAUUUGUCACUAUAAACAAUGAUGUCAUGAACAUCUUUGUACAUAUGCCUUUAUGCACCUGUUAGAAUAGAUAAUAUAAAUUCUCCAAAGGGAAAAUUGAAUUUCUG